GUUAUUAGUUGUGUAACUCCAGUUUCUGAUCUAUGGAAAGUGGUGAAACGUCUUCACGAAAUACAAUUUCAUUCGUUUUCCUCCCUUGCAUUGGCACGCUGUGAGUGGUGUCGACUUCCAGAUGAGUGCAAGAAGAAGAAUUGUAAAGAAUCCGUAAGUGGCCCUAGAAGACGCAGUCAUCGUGUGAGGUGUUGUCGGCAGGAACGAAGAGUCGAAGUUGUUGAAGAAGUCGUGUGACAUUUGUAUUGUUUCUG
rnacentral:misc_RNA from 1 species